UGAGUAACCUGCCCUUAACUCUGGGAUAAGCCUGGGAAACUGGGUCUAAUACCGGAUAUGACUCCUCAUCGCAUGGUGGGGGGUGGAAAGCUUUUUGUGGUUUUGGAUGGACUCGCGGCCUAUCAGCUUGUUGGUGAGGUAAUGGCUUACCAAGGCGACGACGGGUAGCCGGCCUGGGGAGGGUGACCGGCCACACUGGGACUGAGACACGGCCCAGACUCCGUACGGGAGCAG
rnacentral:rRNA from 1 species